UACGAAGGGGGCUAGCGUUGUUCGGAUUUACUGGGCGUAAAGCGCACGUAGGCGGUCUAUUAAGUCAGGGGUGAAAUCCCGGGGCUCAACCCCGGAACUGCCUUUGAUACUGGUAGUCUUGAGUUCGAGAGAGGUGAGUGGAAUUCCGAGUGUAGAGGUGAAAUUCGUAGAUAUUCGGCGGAACACCAGUGGCGAAGGCGACUCACUGGCCCGAUACUGACGCUGAGGCGCGAAAGCGUGGGGAGCAAACAGG
rnacentral:rRNA from 1 species